GGAGAAUGGUGUGGGUUGUCC
rnacentral:siRNA from 1 species